rnacentral:pre_miRNA from 1 species
GGCCCAAAUCUGAAGUACAUUAGAUUAGUAGGGUUGAUACUACUGAUCUACUCUACUUCAAAUUUGGGUCC